GCAUUGUAUAAAAACUUCUCUAGCUGCUGUGUCACAAAGAUACUGGAAAGGGGCAAGGUGAAGGAGGAGACCAGCAGAGCAGCCACGGCCGGGACAGUGCAGAGGAGGGAAGAUGACACAGCUGUGAGACAUUUUGGGGUGAGUCACAGAAUUUGGCAAUGGACUGAAUUUGAGACUUGAGGUAAAAGAAGAGGUCAAGAAUGACGCCAGAUUUUUGACUUCAACAGCUGAGUAGAAAGAGGCGACAUUUGAAAUAACUGAAGGAACGGCAGUCUGUGGGGACACAGGCCUGGGUGCUCAGAGUGGCACACUUUAAUGCAAAUGGCCUUCUGCUUUCUGCUCCAGUCC
rnacentral:lncRNA from 10 species